rnacentral:rRNA from 1 species
UUCCCUACGGGAGGCAGCAGUGGGGAAUAUUGCACAAUGGGCGAAAGCCUGAUGCAGCAACGCCGCGUGAAGGAAGAAGGGUUUCGGCUCGUAAACUUCUAUCAACAGGGACGAAAGAAAUGACGGUACCUGAAUAAGAAGCCCCGGCUAACUACGUGCCAGCAGCCGCGGGAAUACGUAGGGGGCAAGCGUUAUCCGGAAUUACUGGGUGUAAAGGGUGAGUAGGCGGCAUGGUAAGCCAGAUGUGAAAGCCUGGGGGUUAACCCGGGGAUUGCAUUUGGAACUAUAAAGCUA